GAAGUUGGUUAACUUAAGUAACUUAGGGUUUGGAAUAAAAGACCUAGGUAUUAUACCUAUACCUCCCGAUUUCCGGUUGAUUGUGGCUCGAAUCGCCGUUCCAUCUCUACUCAUCACCUUCGCUGGUGUCGAUCGACUCUCCACCAAGCUCAGGUUUCCGAUCAAGCACCAAAAGAUCUCGGUGGAGUUGCGAUUGGAUGUGGAGUCCCUUGACCACCACACCGGCGGCACGACUACAGCUAGGGCGAGGGCUCCGACAGAGGAACGAGGAAAGGAAGGCAAGUACUCUGCAAUAUGAUGGUAUGAGAUCCGCAAGGUAGAGGAUAGGAGCUUGGAAGAGUUGAUAUGCUCACCGAUUAUGUUCAGCAGGUUGAUUGAGAUGCGAUUUGGUGCUUCUGUGUUAUCUCAAUUUCACCUCGUGAUUUUCAUGAUUUCUGCAAAAGAUGAGAACAUCUUUGAUGGGAUUUGAGUUGUACUGAUUUUUCCUCUCGUGAAUUGAGUUCUGAUUUGAGUUCUUUGGGUUUGAGUUGCGAAUUGGUUCUUCCGAUGGUGCUCAUGUCUCCGCUUAAGAAUUCUGUGUGAUUCUGGUUUUGAAAGUGAGUUGUCACAAAGUUUUGCUAUGAUUUGUGAUUGACAUGAGUUUCAAAUUGGUUUCCUCUUGUCGAUCUGAUCCUGCGAUCCGGUUUCUGGUAGCCUUGGUUAGUUUUCUUUAUGCCACUGGAAGCUUUGGAACAAUUCGUUUGGAUUUCUGUAGAGUUAGUUGAUGACCUAGCUAUAUUCCGUUUGGAUUCAGUGAACAUUGUUUGGAACUGGAAUUUGAUAUGGAAUUUUAUCUCUCGAGAUUGUUCCGAGGAUAGUGAAUUUUGUUUAGGUUGUAUCUAUUUGUUUAUUCUUUCUGUUAUUGUACAGUUUUGUUUCGUGAGGUUAUUAGAUGACCAUGGAAUUCAAUGAGAUUUGUUUUGUUAUGCGGAUAAGGUUGAUUUGUUGGGAGUUAACUUUGGUGUGGUUUUGAUUCGUGGGGAGUUAAUUUUGAUUGUGAUUUCGGUUUCUUACGAGUCAGCUGCGAUUUUUAUGGAAGGAUUUAGUAGACUAUGAGUUUUCUUUGGAGGUUUGAACGUGGAUUUGUGCUGUGGUUGUUCCUGUUGCUGUGAGAAAAUUGUGUUUUACAGUGGUCUUUUGAAAUGGGCGAUGGCUUUGGGAUUUUCUAUUGGGUUUGGUAGGUGUAAACACGGAUUCAAAGUUGGUUCUUCUUUCUUCUGAUGUUUUCAUUGGUGUGCUGGAAUUCCAUAUCAGAUUCUUUAAAGGUGAGGAUGACUUCCAGGAUAUGCCAGAAGGCCCACGGACGAAGUAGACGAGGAGGCGGGAUGGACGCAUGGUACUGUCCGUUGUCCGGGAGGGCAGUGCAUACUGGAUCUACCAAGAGAGAUUUUCGUUUCUUAGUCACUCGGGUGGGGAAUGUUGAGGAGUUAUUGUUCUUAUCGAUAAACAUUUGUUGAUACAAUCUUGUCUAUUGGUUAUGAUAGUUCCUUUAUGGUUCGGCAAUGUGAUCAUUCAAAUCGUAGUUGUUGA